GACGAACGCUGGCGGCGUGCCUAAUACAUGCAAGUCGAACGCUUCUUUCCUCCCGAGUGCUUGCACUCAAUUGGAAAGAGGAGUGGCGGACGGGUGAGUAACACGUGGGUAACCUACCCAUCAGAGGGGGAUAACACUUUGAAACAGGUGCUAAUACCGCAUAACAGUUUAUGCCGCAUGGCAUAAGAGUGAAAGGCGCUUUCGGGUGUCGCUGAUGGAUGGACCCGCGGUGCAUUAGCUAGUUGGUGAGGUAACGGCUCACCAAGGCCACGAUGCAUAGCCGACCUGAGAGGGUGAUCGGCCACACUGGGACUGAGACACGGCCCAGACUCCUACGGGAGGCAGCAGUAGGGAAUCUUCGGCAAUGGACGAAAGUCUGACCGAGCAACGCCGCGUGAGUGAAGAAGGUUUUCGGAUCGUAAAACUCUGUUGUUGGAGAAGAACAAGGACGUUAGUAACUGAACGUCCCCUGACGGUAUCUAACCAGAAAGCCACGGCUAACUACGUG
rnacentral:rRNA from 1 species